UCCAUUUUACAAAUGAAGGCUUCUGAGGCGC
rnacentral:piRNA from 1 species